rnacentral:rRNA from 1 species
UACGAAGGGGGCUAGCGUUGCUCGGAAUCACUGGGCGUAAAGGGUGCGUAGGCGGGUCUUUUAAGUCAGGGGUGAAAUCCUGGAGCUCAACUCCAGAACUGCCUUUGAUACUGAAGAUCUUGAGUUCGGGAGAGGUGAGUGGAACUGCGAGUGUAGAGGUGAAAUUCGUAGAUAUUCGCAAGAACACCAGUGGCGAAGGCGGCUCACUGGCCCGAUACUGACGCUGAUGUGCGAAAGCGUGGGGAGCAAACAGG